UAGUGCUUUCCUCUGAAGGAAGUGCUGUUUCAGAUAUCACUCAGGGACACAUCAAAGCAGCAGGCCUUAAUCUGGGGAUAGGAAGAAUGCAUUUCACUCUCUGAGUUCAUGAUGUGGGAUUUGCACUCUGCAGAGGAACAAUACAGUUGAACUGGACUCCUGAAAAGUGAAAGUUGACCCCUGAGAAAUGGCUGGAGGAAGUCGAGGGAGCCACGGAGUAAAGACGUUCCAGAAUGCAAGGACCUGAGAAGGAGGAGCUCCCAUAUCUGAGUGCAAAACAAGAUGAAUGUCCCAGCUCAAGAAGACAGCAUGAGGACCUGUCCUUCCUUUGCCUAUUUUAUUCCGUCUAGACCCUCAGAGGAUCAGCUGAUGCCCAACACAUUGUAGAGUGUUGUGGAAAACAUCUCUCCUCUAAACUGGACACAUGUCAACAAAGAAUGAUGAGAAGCUUCUAUGCUUAUCUAGGGUCCCUGGAAAACAAUAUGGCAGAGAGCAGUGAAUUGGAGCUGGAUGUCCAAGAGGAAAUGUUAAUAUUUUCUCAUCAAACCAGAGAGCACUACUCCACACAGGGGAAAAAGGUACAUUGCUUGACCUCUGAGGCCUGCUUUGACAUGCUCCUUUUCCAGCUGAAAGUUCCAGAAUUGCAGUUGGCUGAUGGUAUACACACUCCAGUUUAAGUACAUUAAAAUGUCCUGAUUACAGUCUUCCUCCUUCAGUCUCAGCCUUGGUUCCCCUUUUCACCUAUGUAGGGCUUAUCACAUAUUGUGUCUAGCCCAGCAUUUUUAUACAGAGAUGGCGAACAUAACCUUUGUGAUUUCUUUAGUAUCAUUUCUUUUAUUGUACAUUUUCUUUUCCCCUGUGUCUUUCUGUCCACAUUACUUGGUUUUCUAUUUCUCAUCAGAGGAAAACACGAUCCUUUUACUUUUCAGCUCCUUCCCAAAGAUGCAUUUUAAUUCAUUUGCUAGAAAUUUGGAAUGAUUCACAAAUCCUAUGUUAAUCCUGAUCUGUAAAAUAAUAUAAUGUUUGUUCUCAUUAUGUAUGCACACGUGUGGAUAGAUAGAUAGGUACAUAGAUAGAUAGAUAGAUACAUACAUACAUACAUACAUAUGCACACUCUAGAUUUCUAUACAUACUUUAUCCCUUCUUUGGAAAUUGUUCAUUAUUAACAAUGCUGUACAAAGGUUGUCAUGCCAAUUCCAUUCCAACCUUUGAAACUUUGAUAAAAUGCGACAUGUUGAAGAAACAUCUGUCCUCAACUCUACUGCCUGCUAGGUCUCUCUGCCCUAUAGUUGCAAGUGCUCCUGAAAAUGACUUUCCAUGAUUAAGCUCUUUGGAACUGAUUUGCGAAGAGUUUAUUGCCUUUGUACAUAAUUCUGAAUUUGAAUAUAAAGGUUACAUAAAAUAUUGUUCUAAAUUCUACUUGCAAAAAAUGAUUUAAUGCAAUGUAGCCUAAUCAGCUCUUAGAGAGGACCUAUACUUUACCUGUAAAUACGUCAUUAUUUACUUGUUAUAAUGAUAACUGAUUAAUUAGAUAUUAACAUACUGUCAACAUCAUUUCAUGUGUGCAUUCGGGCUUUUAAAUGAAGUUUGGAGGAGUCUAAAAAAAGAAAAAGAACUGGCAGUGUAGUUGCCAGGAGUAUUGCUAAGGGAAUAAAAUGUUGGCUAAAAGAUAAAGGGAUUCAGAGGCACAAACUUCCAGUUACAAAAUAACUAAGUCACAAAGAUGAAAAGUACAGCAUAGACAAUAUAGUCAAUAAGGUAAUAAUAACAUUGUCUGAUGACAGGUGAACACUGAGCAAUUUAUAGAAUUGUUGAAUCAUAAUGUUGGACACCUGAAGCUAACAUAGGACUCUAUGUUAAUUCUACUUCAAUAAUAAUUUUAAGACAUUGGCUAAAAGAUAAUUUCAAACUGGAAAGCAAUGCAAAAUCAAACAUCCUCAGUAUGAAAACAUAGCUUCUUAAGAAGGAAAACUUGAGCAAAGAUACGAGAUAAUGUGAAGCAGAGAAAUUUUUUUAUAACUGAAAGACAUUUAGGUAGUGAGACUUUAUAUUCCUAAGUAGUGGGGUUUUUUUUAUCUUCCUUUGUGAAGAGAGGGAAUAAAUAAAUUUUAGAGCAAGGGAAUUGAGAGAGAAACGUCACGUCCCUUUCCCAUCCUUUGAAUUAGUUCUUCCUGCUACCUGCAGAAGGAAAAGUUUGUUAAAGCGAAGCCUUUAGUGAAGAAUAAUAGCUAGGGAGAGAGCUUAGAUGCCAAACGUAUCAAGCAAAAUCUAAAUGUUAAGAAGGUAAUUGAAAAUCAUAUUGUGAAUCUAAAUUUAUAUAUAAUAUGUGUCUAUAUACAUUAAGAAGUGGUUGUAUUGUAGUUUACUAACCUAAGCAGAAAAGCUACAUCUUGAAGCCAGUGAAGAAAAAUGUUUGGCUUUUCAUACUGUGUGGCCAUGCCAAACUAUUUAGAGGAACAAAGAAGGAAAAAUGCCUGGAUCUGAGUUACGGAAUUUAAAUCCUGCAAUGACAAGCUUUUCACUAAAACAGAGACAUGGGUAAGUGAACUACGGAGCUGAAGGACAUGCAGUUUAUUGUUGUUUUUUUAUUUAGCUGAUAUAUGUCAAUUUAAUGAACUGUGUAAUUGUUGGAUACUGUCUAAAGGGCACUUUCUAGUCAAUAUCUUAACAAAUCCUUACAGCAACCCUAUGGGGCAUUUACUUUUAUUUUCAUUUUGCUGUUUUAGAGAUGAGGAAAUAGAAACUUCGUUCAAAUAACUUGCUCAAAAGGACAGAGUAAUGGGGAACAACUUUUCAAAACCAAGGAGGCUACAACUCUUGAAAAACCUGAAAAAUAAAAAUAAAAAAAAUACUGCAGCAGCCAGAAUCUUGAGUUUAUGCACGUAACCACGAGGCUAUUCUACAUCUUAACGGGGAUGUGAGCUGCUCAAAGGAGCAGGAUUGAAAUCAAUGUUAACCCAGUGAUUUUCAAAUUGAAAAAUACAUUUUGGGAGCCAAGGGAUCAUAGACAAUGACAUUCAUUUAAAUUAAAAAAAAAAACCUUUAUACUUCACUAAGAAUAUUGAAGAAAACUUCUGUAGACUCCCACUAGAUACCUACCUACCUACCAGCAUCUUUAUUCACACAUUCUUUUGGUAAAGCUAUCUUCCAUUACAUACCAGAUUCUAUUCUAUUUCUUAAGGAAAUUGCUCUAAAUUUUUUUCAUCAUUGCCUUUUGCGUUAUUAUUUGCCUUCUCUAUUAGAGUGUCCCCAUCAGCAUGCAAUAUACUAUUAUUUUUUAACCACAUGUUAAAAAAAUCUUUCUUCACCCCACCACCUACCCAGGUAUUUGUUCAACUCUCUCUCUUUUUGCAGCGACAUGCUUACCAAGAGUUGUCUAUCAUAGCUGACUCAUUCUAUCUCCAUUCUUUCUUAUGGAGUCCCCAGACAGGCUUUUUCUUCCACCAUUGUCACCAAAAUUUCUCUGAAAAUGCUACCACCCACUUCUUGAAAAAUGAAACCAUGAUUUGCAAUCACACUUCAUUGUAAUUUCAGUAGAUAAAAACUUACCAAAUCAAAACGUGCAACUCACCUGGUUCAAAUGGUUUUCCUAUCAACUUCUAGCAACCCACUCCUUCAAGAGGGAAAAGAUUUUUAUUUGUUUUGUUCAAUGAAGUUUUCACAAUGUUUUGUACAGGGCAUAUCACUUAGCAGGUACUCAAAAAACAUUUGUUGAAUAUAUGAAUGAAUGAAUACAUGAAUACAUGAAUAUAUGCACAAAUAAGUGUGUGACUCAAAGUAGUCCGAUGGAUAGACCGUUUGUAAAUCAUUAAGGAACACAUGCCAAGCCAGACAAUGAUUUAAAAUAUCAUGAUUCACUUAACCUCUGGUUGUAUUCUACAGAAAGUCAAUACUGAAGGAAAAGCCUUUAAUGAGAUCAAUAAAUUGUGUUUCCUUAGGGUAAGUGUCCAGUCAAAAAUUCUGUAUUUUACCUGCCUUUCACAGUGCUUGAUAAAGCUCAAUAAAUAUUUGCCAAAUAAUGAAAUGAAUAAAUGCAAUUUCAAUACUGCAAUGGAAAUAAGAUGCAAGUAUAUGUAACUCUGGACGUAUUGAGUCCUGUAAUACGUUUAUUUUCCUGUGGAAGUCCAUUAUAUUUCAUAGCCCCAGGUGUUCAGUGGAUCAAUUGUAGAAGUAAUACUACCCUGGGAAAAUAAAUUGCAUCUUGUCUAUAUAUGUAUUUGGAGAAGGAAAGCACAACUUACUUCUUGGAGGAAACCGAAGUUUCCAGGGAAGAAUGUACUCAAAUAGACAUAAUU